rnacentral:lncRNA from 1 species
CCUUAUAAAUCAACCCUCCCCCCUACUCUCUCAUCGAAGGCCAUCACCACACACACACACACUCUCUCUCUCUCUAUCUCAGAAUUUUCUCUCUCUACACCCACAAUGCCUCCUCUCCUCCUCUUCCUCUCCCUCCUCUCUCUCCUCCUCCCCCAUGCCUCAUCCCUGGACUACUGUGUAGCUGACCUCUCUCUACCCCCGACCCCCUCAGGAUUCCCCUGCAAAAGUCCCUCAAAAUUAACAUCAGAUGAUUUCUACUUCACAGGCUUGGGCGUGGCAGGGAACACAUCAAACAUCAUAAAAGCAGCAGUAACCCCGGCUUUUUCGCCUCAAUUUCCGGCCGUCAAUGGCCUCGGCCUCUCCCUUGCUCGCUUGGACGUGCUGCCUGGUGGCGUC